AGGGCACUCCUGGGAGGGUCAGAUCUGUGAUUGGGCGCGACUACGAGGGGGCGGAGCCCAGGGGCGUGUAUUCCGUCACUUGCGGUGAUUCGGCUACAGAACGCGCCGGGCGCUGGUGGCAGGUGGUACAGGCACGUGGAUCCACCGACCACAAGGACGGAUUCGAUUGGAUUCUGAUUGACCGGCGGACCAGCUCCAGAGUAAUUGUCUAUGGCUGCCCCUGCAAUGACUGAUUGAUUGACAAUGGCUGAGAGACCAGCAAGUGAGUCGCUCCGAGAAAGCGAAGGAGCCCACUCUUGUGCGGCGCUUUGGGAAGACGCCUGUUGGUUUUGACCCCGAAUAAGAAGAGGAAGCUGAGAGCGGGCUGACUGUGGUCCAGUCCUACUUCGAUUCAGUGUGAACUGACACUCUGAUCUGAAGACGCUCAGGCCUUUGUCAUUUCAGCACCCCAGAUGCUAUUUUCCAUUCGAAGAAUGCCGCCACCAGGUGGCGGUAUUUUAACAUGGCCAUGCAAUCCGGGAGGCUCCAGUGAUGGGGAGCGGCUGUAAAUACAGAUGAAGCUUUGCUGCCUGCCUGCUCACUGCCUGCCUGCUCACCUCCUGCUCUGCGGCCCAGUUCCUAACAGGCCACAGACAGGUACCAGUCUAUGGCCCAGAUGAUGCAGACCCCUGUCUUAAACAAAAACAAAAAACCAAAGCACACUUAAUGUGAGAUCUACUCUCUUAGCAAAAUUUUUGUUUUUGUUGUCGUUGACACGGAGCCUCAUUCUGUUGCCCAGGCUGGAGUGCAGUGGCGCGAUCUCGGCUUACUGCAACCUCCUUCUCCCGGGUUCCAGCGAUUCUCCUGCCUCAGCCUCCCGAGUAACUGGGAUUAUAGGCAACCACCACCACGCCUGGCUAAUUUUUGUAUUUUUAGUAGAGAUGGGGUUUCCCCAUGUUGGUCAGGCUGGUCUUGAACUCCUGACCUUGGGUGAUCCACCCACCUCGGCCUCCCAAAGUGCUGGGGUUACAGGCGUGAGCCACCGUGCCCGGCUACUGUGAUGUGAUUAUUAUACAUCGUAUGCCUGUAUCAACAUAUGUCCUGUAGACCAUAAGUAUAUACACCUACUACGUACCCACUAAAAUUAAAAAUAGGCAGGGCACGGUGGCUCACACCUGUAAUCCCAGUACUUUGGGAGGAUUGCUUGAACCCAGGAGUUCGAGAAUAGCCUGGGCAACACAGUGAAACUCCGUCUCUACAAAAAAAAAACACAAAAAAAUUAGCCAGGUGUGGUAGAGAGUGGCUGUUGGUCCCAGCUACUCAGGAGGCUGAGGUGGGAGGAUUGCUUGAGCCCAGGAGUGAGAGGCUGCAGUGAUUGCACCACUGCACUCCAGGUAACUAAAGUACAAUGGGGCCGGGUGUGGUGGCCCUUGCCUGUAAUCCCAGCACUUUGGGAGGCUAAGGUGGGUGGAUCGCUUGACGUCAGGAGUUCAAGGCCAGCCUGGCCAACAUGGUUAAAACGUGUCUCUACUAAAAAUACAAAAAUUAGCCGGGUGUGGUGGCGGGUGUCCGUAGUCCCAGCUACUCGGGAGGCUGAGUCAGGAGAAUCACUUGAACCUGGAAAGCGGAGGUUGCAGUAAGCUUAGAUCGCACCACUGCACUCCAGCCUCAGCAACAGAGAGAGACUCCGUCUCAAAAAACAAAAAUAGAGGCCAGGCACAGUGGCUCACGCCUGUAAUCCCAGCACGUUGGGAGGCUGAGGCGGGUGGAUCAAGAGGUCAGGAGAUCAAGACCAUCGUGGCUAACACGGUGAAACCCCGUCUUUACUAAAAACACAAAAAAUUAGCUGGGCGUAGUG
rnacentral:lncRNA from 10 species